UCCUACGGGAGGCAGCAGUGGGGAAUCUUGCACAAUGGAGGAAACUCUGAUGCAGCGAUGCCGCGUGAGUGAAGAAGGCCCUUGGGUUGUAAAGCUCUUUCGUCGGGGAAGAAAAUGACUGUACCCGAAUAAGAAGGUCCGGCUAACUUCGUGCCAGCAGCCGCGGUAAUACGAAGGGACCUAGCGUAGUUCGGAAUUACUGGGCUUAAAGAGUUCGUAGGUGGUUGAAAAAGUUAGUGGUGAAAUCCCAGAGCUUAACUCUGGAACUGCCAUUAAAACUUUUCAGCUAGAGUAUGAUAGAGGAAAGCAGAAUUUCUAGUGUAGAGGUGAAAUUCGUAGAUAUUAGAAAGAAUACCAAUUGCGAAGGCAGCUUUCUGGAUCAUUACUGACACUGAGGAACGAAAGCAUGGGUAGCGAAGAGGAUUAGAUACCCUCGUAGUCCAUGCCGUAAACGAUGUGUGUUAGACGUUGGAAAUUUAUUUUCAGUGUCGCAGCGAAAGCGAUAAACACACCGCCUGGGGAGUACGAUCGCAAGGUUAAAACUCA
rnacentral:rRNA from 1 species